rnacentral:rRNA from 1 species
UAUCGGAUUGAUACUAAGCCAUGCGAGUCAUUGCAGUAAUGCAAGGCAGACGGCUCAGUAACGCGUAGUCAACCUACCCUAUGGACGGGAAUAACCUCGGGAAACUGAGUAUAAUGCCCGAUAGAACACUAUUCCUGGAAUGGUUUGUGUUCCAAAUGAUUUAUCGCCGUAGGAUGGGACUGCGGCCUAUCAGUUUGUUGGUGAGGUAAUGGCCCACCAAGACUAUUACAGGUACGGGCUCUGAGAGGAGUAGCCCGGAGAUGGGUACUGAGACACGGACCCAGGCCCUAUGGGGCGCAGCAGGCGAGAAAACUUUGCAAUGUGCGAAAGCACGACAAGGUUAAUCCGAGUGGUUUGUGCUAAACGAACCUUUUGACAGUCCUAGAAACACUGUUGAAUAAGGGGUGGGCAAGUUCUGGUGUCAGCCGCCGCGGUAAAACCAGCACCUCAAGUGGUCAGGAUGAUUAUUGGGCCUAAAGCAUCCGUAGCCGGCUCUGUAAGUUUUCGGUUAAAUCUGUACGCUCAACGUACAGGCUGCCGGGAAUACUGCAGAGCUAGGGAGUGGGAGAGGUAGACGGUACUCGGUAGGAAGGGGUAAAAUCCUUUGAUCUAUUGAUGACCACCUGUGGCGAAGGCGGUCUACCAGAACACGUCCGACGGUGAGGGAUGAAAGCUGGGGGAGCAAACCGGGUUAGAUACCCGGGUAGUCCCAGCUGUAAACUAUGCAAACUCAGUGAUGCAUUGGCUUGUGGCCAAUGCAGUGCUGCAGGGAAGCCGUUAAGUUUGCCGCCUGGGAAGUACGUACGCAAGUAUGAAACUUAAAGGAAUUGGCGGGGGAGCACCACAAGGGGUGAAGCCUGCGGUUCAAUUGGAUUC